CCAGUAUUUUCAUCCUCUUUUACUAUUACAUUGUAUAAUUGUAGACCUACGCAUUUAUCAAAAUCUCAGCUUCAGAGAAAACUGAAUGAAGAAACUCUGUAUAAUACAGCCUGUCAGAAAAUAUAUUCUCAAGUGACUGAGAGGAGGGGAAUUAGGACUUGCGUCUCAAACAGACAUCCUGAAUGCUCUAUCCAGCUGUACAAACAAUUGCACAGGACCUUGUCCCAGUCAAAUGGGGCCUGUGGGUGUUUGGAAAGGCCAGCUAUCAGUUUCCUAUUAUCAUACACUAUGGGAAGGAGUUCUCAUCUUCAUAACCCUGCUCCAGAGAGGUUUGCCCUUCAGGACAAUAGGGUGGUAAGUUUUCUGGCAAAUAAGCAAAUACAUCAUGGCAAGCUUGAAAACUCAUUUUCUUUUCUAUCCUUUCAGUUCAUUUUGUUUUACCCUCAAGACCCACAGUUUCUGUGCCAUCAGAUACACUAGCAUAUAUAUCUCCAAAAUGUCCUCUCCUGAUAUUUAUUAGCCCUUUCAAACCAAUCACACACCAUACAUAAGUUACCAUGCUUAGUCCUUCAGCUAACAAACGACUGUCUAGCUAGGUAAAGAUAAGCUGCUGUGUGAAGGCUCUAAUCUCCAGCCCAUAAGUGUACCUGGGCACGGGGAACUGCAGCCCACAGCAAUUUUUUGCAUUUUGCAGUGUAUGAGCAUAUGUGAAAAGGAGAUUGUGACUUUGUGUGACCUUUAUAAGGAGUUGGCACAAGGUUUUGUAGUUUACUUUGGGCUAUAUUUUGCCAGCUUUUGCACAUAUGGAAUAGCAUCUUCGUCUGCAAUAAUCUCACCUAUAUAAUGGUGUCAGAAUCUGGCCUACCAGCUGGAGUGAGCUAUUUCACACUGUAUCUGAUAUUGUUUCCUUUUCAUCUGUUGAGAUAGAGUGCUUUGCUGUGUAUCCUGAUAUCCCAUGGCUCUCUUUUUGGAGCUAUGUUCACACAUCUUGAUUCCAUCUGUACUCUUGAAGAGGCCCGUUAGGUGGAAGAUGUAUCUGUCAAACACAUGUAGAUUCUGGACAGCAACCCUUUACGGGUCAUGCCUUGAAACAUUACUAAUUUGAUUUCAAAGGGAGCUAUUACAAACUGUCUUUUGUGUUGUUAGGCCUCAGGAGAAGGACCUCAGUUGGACACAGUGAAAUGCUGCAUUUGCAAUAGCCAUGGAGCCCCUUGUUGGAACAGAUAUAAGAAUCAGUCAUGUCUUUGUCUUGGAGCUCGGCACCUCUUCUGGAGGAGUCCCCUGAUGAGAGAGGGAGACGGCUGAAUGUAUGUUAAAAGGUCCAGGGGACAGAAACUUAGUGAUCCACAGCAUUCAUCUGAUGCUGUCCAAAGUUGUCGAGCAACCUCAGGAAAUGAGUUGAAAUUUGAUUCUUGUUUGGCUAUUUUGGGUCCUGAAAGUGGGGUGGUGGGUGCAAGAGGGUUGAUGUACACAUCUGUGCACUCUGUGGCAGUGCUUUGAAGCUCUGUGUUGUAGCCUGUGUUUUUUUUAUGAUGCAGUCAUGUGCAUUUUUAAGAACAAGAAUUGGACACCUUUGUGCUUAAAGUUAAGCAUGACCGUGACUCAUUCAGCUGUCACUCUUACAGACGUAGUGUGAGAACCAUAUGGAUGGGAAGAAGUAACCUAGACCCAACAUGCAAGUUCAGGGAUUUCAAGACAGGAGGCCAAACACUGAAACAACAUCUGACAAAAGUGAGUAAUUGGUCAAUGCUUCCACUUCUAUUUGGUCAGAUUUUCAACAUAAAUUAAUAAAUUUUCUCAAAGUAGUGGAUCUUACCCCA
rnacentral:lncRNA from 1 species